GGUAGUCCACGCGGUAAACGAUGGCCACUAGGUGUGGGGGGUAUCGACCCCCUCCGCGCCGCAGCAAACGCAUUAAGUGGCCCGCCUGGGGAGUACGGCCGCAAGGCUAAAACUCAAAGGAAUUGACGGGGGCCCGCACAAGCAGCGGAGCGUGUGGUUUAAUUCGACGCAACGCGGAGAACCUUACCAGGGCUUGACAUGGUGGGAAAAGCCAUCGAAAGGUGGUGUGCCCGCAAGGGCGUCCAUUACAGGUGCUGCACGGCUGUCGUCAGCUCGUGCCGUGAGGUGUUGGGUUAAG
rnacentral:rRNA from 1 species